CCUUUCAGGACGAACGCUGGCGGCGUGCUUAACACAUGCAAGUCGAGCGAUGAAGCACCUUCGGGUGUGGAUUAGCGGCGAACGGGUGAGGAACACGUGAGGAAUCUGCCUUCCACUCUGGGAUAACUCCGGGAAACCGGGGCUAAUACCGGAUACUUUCAACUGGCGGCAUCGCCGGUUGAAGAAAGUUUUUCGGUGGAAGAUGACCUCGCGGCCUAUCAGCUUGUUGGUGAGGUAAUGGCUCACCAAGGCAACGACGGGUAGCCGGCCUGAGAGGGCGACCGGCCACACUGGGACUGAGACACGGCCCAUACUCCUACGGGAGGCAGCAGUGGGGAAUAUUGGGCAAUGGAGGAAACUCUGACCCAGCGACGCCGCGUGAGGGAUGAAGGCCUUCGGGUUGUAAACCUCUUUCAGCAGGGAAUAAGCGAAAGUGAAGGUACCUGCAGAAGAAGCACCGGCUAACUAUGUG
rnacentral:rRNA from 1 species